GGAACAUCAUCAUUAUAUGAGUGAAAUUAAAAAAAAACAACAAUAAAGAAAUGAUCAUUUAUUGUGAAACUUUCUGGGUAAAUAAUAUCUGGAAAAAAUAAUUGUGACAGCCCUACCAAUAAAUAAUUUUAAUACAGUACACUGACUAAAAUCAAAUACCUAUUAUGAAGCCGGUGGUUGCCACUGACCGUUUCCAUGUUUUGACGUAUUUUGAAGGACGAGCAUAGACAGAAACAAUAAAUGAAAAAUAUCACUCACCAUUAGCUACACAUCGAGCCUGGUCAGGUGUCAUCUUCAAACCAGUGUUACGACAUAAUGGUACAGUGCCAUAAAGUGUCUUCGUGUUUGUGCGCGCUUUCCUAAAACUUUGAUGAUGAAAAAAAGUUCUCUUUAACACAUAGUUAUUGUCUGUGUGUUAUUGGAUGCCAUGAUCUGGCGGCAAAAUGUUACUUUGCACUGCCCUUGUUGUUCUCUUCUGUGGUCCCACUACUGCUGGGAUGAAUGUCUUACAUCUAACUAUGAUCAAAUUGUCCGAAGCAGGCGCCAGAGGCUAACCUCAAUUCACGUUGUCCCGUCAAGCGCAUGCCGGUCACAUUUUUUUUCUUCCGUCAUCACAACAUCCUGUUUCUGCCCAGUUUUUUCGGUGAUCAGACUUUCGGUUGAAAGCAGAAAAAUGUACUUUGGGGCCAUUUUUGACAGCUGUGACUUGCAAUUUGAACUGGCUCUGUCGAGCCAGCAUUUGAAGGUGGGUAAUGGCCCAACACAGUUGUGCACUGACCAGGGACCAUCAGGCCACCGUUAAUGUGGAACCCUGAAUCUCUUGUUUUUAUCCUCGCAAUGGCGAGGGACUGUUGAUCAUCUGUUCGACAUUUGGGUCUCAGUUCAAAUUACCUUCCCCUGUAAGCUUAUGUUGAAUUUCGGAAUAUCCCAAAAUUUCACCCGAAAGCCCAAUAUCCUUCACUUUUUCCGGGUCGAAUAGGUCAACACUGGGUUGCCAAUCCCCUCUAAAAUAUGCUGAUUUCAAUGUAAAAAAAAAACAAAAAAAAAAAACAAAACAUUAUGCUAUGCAGCUUGUUGGAAAGUAGUGUUGGCUUACUUUUACUGUAGCUUUUCUUUCAAGAUGAAAAGAACACAAACAGGAGAUUCACUGUUAGCCCUGAU